rnacentral:rRNA from 1 species
UACGUAGGGGGCUAGCGUUGUCCGGAUUUAUUGGGCGUAAAGAGCGUGUAGGCGGCCAGGUAGGUCUGCUGUGAAAACUCGAGGCUCAACCUCGAGACGUCGGCGGAAACCGUCUGGCUAGAGUCCGGAAGAGGAGAGUGGAAUUCCUGGUGUAGCGGUGAAAUGCGCAGAUAUCAGGAAGAACACCCGUGGCGAAAGCGGCUCUCUGGGACGGUACUGACGCUGAGACGCGAAAGCGUGGGGAGCGAACAGG